rnacentral:rRNA from 1 species
UACGUAGGGUGCAAGCGUUAAUCGGAAUUACUGGGCGUAAAGCGUGCGCAGGCGGUUUUGUAAGUCUGUCGUGAAAGCCCCGGGCUUAACCUGGGAAUUGCGAUGGAGACUGCAAGGCUUGAAUCUGGCAGAGGGGGGGUAGAAUUCCACGUGUAGCAGUGAAAUGCGUAGAGAUGUGGAGGAACACCGAUGGCGAAGGCAGCCCCCCUGGGUCAAGAUUGACGCUCAUGCACGAAAGCGUGGGGAGCAAACAGG